UCCCUGGUACUCCAGUGGUUAAGACUCUGCACUUCCAAUGCAGGGGGUGCAGCUUUGAAUCCUGGUCAGGGAG
rnacentral:tRNA from 1 species